rnacentral:rRNA from 1 species
ACUCUCCCACCCUUUGUGAACGUACCUCUGUUGCUUUGGCGGCUCCGGCCGCCAAAGGACCUUCAAACUCCAGUCAGUAAACGCAGACGUCUGAUAAACAAGU